UAGGGGGCGAGCGUUGUCCGGAAUCACUGGGCGUAAAGGGCGCGUAGGCGGUUUAAUAAGUCAGUGGUGAAAACUGAGGGCUCAACCCUCAGCCUGCCACUGAUACUGUUAGACUUGAGUAUGGAAGAGGAGAAUGGAAUUCCUAGUGUAGCGGUGAAAUGCGUAGAUAUUAGGAGGAACACCAGUGGCGAAGGCGAUUCUCUGGGCCAAGACUGACGCUGAGGCGCGAAAGCGUGGGGAGCAAA
rnacentral:rRNA from 1 species